rnacentral:misc_RNA from 1 species
AAGUCGUAACAAGGUUUCCGUAGGUGAACCUGCGGAAGGAUCAUUAAUAAAUAAUCCUUAUGGAUUUUUAAUCCAUAUCCGCCUUUGUGAACUUGUAAACUGUUUGCUCCCUUUUGGCGCAUCACAAAAACGGUAAGGGGUUUCGCUGGAGGUUGUCGCUUAACGGCGAGGACCAAAGGUUUAAUCUUUUGCUGGGUGCGUCGGAGGGGUAGCCUUUUUAUACACCUCUUGUCUUUAAUACCUUGACUGAAAUCCUCUUCUUUGUUUGGCUUAACCGCUAAGCAGGAAGUAAAAAACAAAUUAAAAACAACUUUCAACAACGGAUCUCUAGGCUCCCA